GCCAAGGACAAGGCAGGAAAACUCCCUCCAGCUACAUCACUGUGGGGGCCGUGCCCGGCACUAGGGAGCCGCUUGAACCACUAGGACGAAGAGAGUCAGCCUUCUCCUCCCCCUCACUCUAUUCCGGUCCCGACGCCGGUACAGCCGGGCCCGGCCGCCGUCGCUCCCCACCUUGUUGUUAUACUCCUCCACGAAGCUGCCCAGCGCCAGACGGAACCGCUUGUCCGGCCGGACGCUCCAGUUCAUGGCAUACACGAUUAGCACCCGUGCUUUGUACUGCCAGAGGUGAAUUUGCCAGUGCUCCCAACAAACACAGCUGUAACCUGUGAAUCACAGAAUGGUAGGGGUUGGAAGAAACCUCUGAAGAUCAUCAAGUCCAAUCCCCUUGCCAGAGCAGGAUCACCUAAAGCAGGUCAUGCAGGAACACAACCAGAUGGGCUUUGAAUGACUCCAGAGACAGAGACUACACCACCUCUCUGGGCAGCCUGCUCCACUGCUCUGCCAUCCUCAAAGUACAGAAGUUCCUCCUCAUGUUUAGCCACCUGAGCCAGCACUGAACCCUGUGGCCAUGAGCCAAGUCCUGCCACCCCAUCCCAGCCCAGAAUCCCCCUGCUGAGCCCCCUCCUCACCCCCACAGUGUCCUGGCACCAUCAGCCCAAGUCUCCCCGACGAGCUCGGAGACAUGAUGCCUGUCCUGCGCAGCUCCACCAUUGAUCCCCUUUUGCUAAUAAACAGCCU